rnacentral:rRNA from 1 species
CGCUAAUGUGCCCCGGACUCUGGGAUAGCUAGCCGAAAGGUUAGGUAAUACCAGAUGACAUGCCUUUAUCGCAUGAUAGAGGCCUCAAAGGUCCGCCGGUCUGGGAGCAGGCGAUUUCGUAUCAGCUAGUUGGUGAGGUAACGGCUCACCAAGGCGACGACGCGUAGCCGGACUGAGAGGUUGGCCGGCCUCAUUGGGACUGAGACACUGCCCAG